rnacentral:misc_RNA from 1 species
GAUGAAGAACGUAGCGAAAUGCGAUACUUGGUGUGAAUUGCAGAAUCCCGUGAACCAUCGAGUCUUUGAACGCAAGUUGCGCCCGAAGCCACUAGGCCGAGGGCACGCCUGCCUGGGCGUCACACGUCGUUGCCCCCCCCAUCUACUCCUUCGGGAUUGCGGGGGGCGGAUGAUGGCCUCCCGUGCGCCUAGCCGCGCGGUUGGCAUAAAUACCAAGUCCUCGGCGACGCACGCCACGACAAUCGGUGGUUGCGAAACCUCGGUUGCCCGUCGUGUGCGUACGUCGCGCAUCGAGGGCUCGAAAAAAUGCUCGGCUCCGGCUCGGCUUUCAACGCGACCCCAGGUCAGGCGGGGUUACCCGCUGAAUUUAAGCAUAUCAAUAAGCGGAGGA